AUGUUGCACAGACGCAAGGCCCAGCUGAUUCAGCUUGCUUUUGAAAAGGACCUGACUCACAAGUUUACAUCUGAGUGGAAGGAUAUGUUGAUGAGGAGGUUCAGCUCGGAGAAACGCUGCCUCCCGCUGAGGACAUGCAGGGAGGGAGGGAGGACAGCGCUGAAUCCACUCAAACUGAUAUAUCAGAGCCGACUCCUGAGAGCAGACGUAUCUAAAGCUGUCAGGGAGGAACCAUGGCUACCAUCUCUGAACCGGACCCUGGACUCUCUGAGGAACCUGGGGACGCGUCUUUGGACCGGAGGGAGCGCAGGAAGAGAAGAUUUGGUAGGUGCCCUUUAGAGAGGAUUUAAAAUAAAUACUACAAUAAAAAAAAUGUAUUUUCAUCUGCAUACGUUUAAAAUGUACUUUUAGAAAAAGUUUUAAGUCAAAUAGGCCGACCUGAUGAACCAGUGACCGUAUAGACAGAUUUAUUCUCCUAAAUAAAGACAUGUGUGUGUUUGAGACAAAAAGCUUGUAUUUACCUUACUUGACGUGAGAUUACGCCCAUGAGUUACGGACUAUUGAUAGGCAUCUCAAGUAGUUGUGUGUUUCCUGUUAUAUGUCCGUUAUGUACGUGGAACAGAGUGGAGAGUAACUUUAGGGAGCAGAGCACAAGUUUAGUUUUUUCUUGACUUUUUAGUGCAGCGUGACAUUAGAGUGACAAUGGUUUAUUUAAUCAACAAUUUUGUGUUUUAAUAAUGGCUGCUCAUUUAACUGAAGCGAUAUCAGGUGAACUUAUGAAUUUAACAUAAUUCUAUAAAGUUUGUCAUU
rnacentral:lncRNA from 1 species